GCACCUCUAGCUCAGUUGGCAGAGCAACUGACUCUUAAUCAGUGGGUCCGGAGUUCGAGUCUCCGGAGGUGCACCA
rnacentral:tRNA from 1 species